AGAAUCAACGCUGGCGGCGUGCCUAACACAUGCAAGUCGAACGAGAAAGUGGAGCAAUCCAUGAGUAAAGUGGCGACCGGGUGAGUAACACGUGACUAACCUACCUUCGAGUGGGGGAUAACAUCGGGAAACCGAUGCUAAUACCGCAUAACAUCGCAAGAUCAAAGCAGCAAUGCGCUGGAAGAGGGGGUCGCGGCUGAUUAGCUAGUUGGCGGGGUAACGGCCCACCAAGGCGAAGAUCGGUAGCCGGCCUGAGAGGGCGCACGGCCACACUGGAACUGAAACACGGUCCAGACUCCUACGGGAGGCAGCAGUGGGGAAUUUUGCGCAAUGUGGGAAACCCUGACGCAGCAACGCCGCGUGGAGGAUGAAGCCCCUUGGGGCGUAAACUCCUUUCGACCAAGACGAUAAUGACGGUACUGGUGGAAGAAGCACCGGCUAACUCUGUGCCAGCAGCCGC
rnacentral:rRNA from 1 species